rnacentral:rRNA from 1 species
AGCAGCCGCGGUAAUUCCAGCUCCAAUAGCGUAUAUUAAAGUUGUUGCAGUUAAAAAGCUCGUAGUUGAAUUUCGGGAUCAAUAUGUUGGUCGUGCCUUGGUACGUACUGGCGUCAUUGGUUUCUACCUUCUGAAGAACCUCGAUGUCAUUAAUUUGGUGUCUUGGGGAAUCAGGACUGUUACUUUGAAAAAAUUAGAGUGUUUAAAGCAGGCUCACGCUUGAAUACAUUAGCAUGGAAUAAUGAAAUAGGACGUUUGAUUCUAUUUUGUUGGUUUCUAGGAUCGACGUAAUGAUUAAUAGGGAUAGUUGGGGGCAUUAGUAUUCAAUUGUCAGAGGUGAAAUUCUUGGAUUUAUUGAAGACUAACUACUGCGAAAGCAUUUGCCAAGGAUGUUUUCAUUAAUCAAGAACGAAAGUUAGGGGAUCGAAGACGAUCAGAUACCGUCGUAGUCUUAACCAUAAACUAUGCCGACUAGGGAUCGGAUGAUGUUAAUUUUUAAUGUACUCAUUCGGCGCCUUAA